rnacentral:lncRNA from 1 species
UUUCUAGCUGGUUUGAGGGCUUAUUCAGUAGCAUGUGAAAUAUUUAUUCGGCACAUAACUGGGGAGCAGACGAACAAAUUAACAGAAUCGCUGCCACGUGGACCCUCCAGCUCUUCUCGAGUUCCCCGCGAGGCGACAGGAGUCACGUGGUCGUGCACCGCAAGCGAUAUUAGCAGACAUCCCGAGUCUCCCGGAAAUCAGCGUCUCCUCCGUGACUCCCGAAAGUGAUAUCCAUAAUGUCCCGGAAAUCGCCGCCCGCUGCCAAAUUGUUUCUCAGAUCUGCUAAACAAGCCGCAUCUCUGUAUAACGAAAGUUUGCAAAUGAAGUGAGAUUAUUCAACUGGACUGGUGAGUACAGUAUAUAUUUAUAGUGUAUUGUGUAU